rnacentral:rRNA from 1 species
UACGUAGGGUGCAAGCGUUGUCCGGAAUUAUUGGGCGUAAAGAGCUCGUAGGCGGUUUGUCGCGUCUGCUGUGAAAACUCGGGGCUUAACUCCGGGCCUGCAGUGGGUACGGGCAGACUAGAGUGCGGUAGGGGAGACUGGAAUUCCUGGUGUAGCGGUGGAAUGCGCAGAUAUCAGGAGGAACACCCAUAGCGAAGGCAGCUUGCUGGGACGGUACUGACGCUAAGGCGCGAAAGCGUGGGGAGCAAACAGG